AUCUUGCUGGAGAUCCCUGUGUACCUGAGCUUUUCCAAAGAAGAAAUUCUGAAGGAUUUGCGUCAGAACAAUCAGUUGCCUCUAUCAUCUGAAUGCUCAUUUGAAGGAUGCUGGAAACUGGAUUCAGUACUCUGCUUUACGAAGAAGUAGAGCAGGUGACAGUAUGGUCUAAGACACUGAACAUUCGGGAAGAUUCUACAUGUUACUGUAUCACAAUAGUUUUCCCUCACCCUACACUCCU